UUACAUAGUAGAACAACAAAAAACGAGAAGCAGUGGUGACCUCCUGAGAAGUCCUUGUGUUGCACCUAUUUUUUUCAGAUGGGGAGUUGAACAUUACGCGCGGUUGGAAAUAUGGUCCGCUGGUUUAUUCACAAAUAUGAGUCAUGGCGCCGAGGCAUUUUACUUAAUAUUAGAACGAGAAGGAGAGGUGCAGUGUACACGCAUAAGGAAAUAAAUGAUAGGAGGGGGGAGGGUAGGAGAAAGAGUGUAUGUAUUUGCAGCGCGGAAUGAAACAGGUGCGAUCAUACCAACACUAAUGCACCGGAUACCAUCAUAACUCCGUAGUUAAGUGUGCUUGGGAAAGAGUAGUACUAGGAUGGGUGACCUCUUAGAAAAUCCUCGUGUUGCACCCAUUUUCUUGCAGAUAGGUCCUUCGACAUUACGCGCGACUAGAACAAUGGUUUGCUGGUUUAUUCCCAAAUGUGAGUCAAGGUGCCGGGAUAUUUUACUUGAUAUUAGAAUGAGAAUGAGAGGUGCAAUGUGCACACACAAGGAAACAAAUGAGGGAAUGAGGGAAGGAAGGAGGAAAGGAAGGAGAAGGAGUGUAUGUAUUUACAGUGCAAAAUUAAAAAGAUGCGAUCAUACCAGCACUAAUGCACCGGAUCCCAUCAGAACUCUGCAGUUAUGCUUGGGCGAGAGUAGUAAUAGGAUGGGUGAUCUCCUCAUGUUGCACUCAUUUUUUUACAGUUGGGUCCUUCAAAGUUACGCACGACUGGAACUAUGGUCCGCUGGUUUAUUCGCAAAUGUUAGUCACGGUGCCGAGACAUUUUACUUGAUAUUAGAAUAAGAAUGAGAGGUGCAGUGUGUACGCACAAGGAAACAAAUGAUGGGAGGGGGGAGGGAAGGAGAAGGAGUGUAUGUAUUUGCAG
rnacentral:lncRNA from 1 species